GAAUGCGUUCGAAUGCGGCGGGUGUUGUGCAAACUCGUCCGGCUCAGCGAGAGAGUUUUUGUUUUAGCCUUCAUCCCAUUCUGGCUGGAUUUUCGCUACAUCGUGUAAAAUUAAUUGAAUGUAGCUGCUGCUGCUGAGACCAGAUGGCCAAAAACGGAUGUCUAACAAAGGGAGUGAGCGAGCGAGCGAGCGAGAGGGGAAAGAGAGUGAGCGAGGCGGAACACGUCUGGACCUCUGGCCAGCCACUGGGCCAUAUAAUUUAGAUGCCACGAAAAGCUACUUAAAUGCUCGAGAAAACACCGAAUCAGAGAGUCGUAACAAUGCGGUUUUCUAGGAGGACGGAGUGGGACAGCUUAAAUUAUUUUAUUGCUGACACUAUUAAGACUUAGA